rnacentral:lncRNA from 1 species
GGAAUAAUGAGGGCCGGAAUGCUGUGAUCCAGGCGGCCGAAAAGAACAACUUAGACAUGCUUCGGUUCACGAUCCAGUCUGGCGGAAGUCUAAACGCAAAAACAACAAAACAAGGAGACACGGCUCUCAUGUUGGCUACGUCGCGCGGGUACCUU